UGAUCCUGGCUCAGAACGAACGCUGGCGGCGUGCUUAACACAUGCAAGUCGAACGAGAAAUUACCUUCGGGUAAUGGACAGUGGCAGACGGGUGAGUAACGCGUGGCAACCUACCUUUCAGUAAGGGACAACAGUUGGAAACGACUGCUAAUACCUUAUACGUCCUCCGGGAGAAAGAUUUAUCGCUGAUAGAUGGGGCCGCGUUAGAUUAGCUUGUUGGUGAGGUAAUGGCUCACCAAGGCGACGAUCUAUAGCGGGUCUGAGAGGAUGAUCCGCCACACUGGGACUGAGACACGGCCCAGACUCCUACGGGAGGCAGCAGUGGGGAAUAUUGGACAAUGGGGGCAACCCUGAUCCAGCAACGCCGCGUGAAUGAUGAAGGCCUUAGGGUUGUAAAAUUCUUUCGCUAGGGAAGAUAAUGACUGUACCUAGUAAAGAAGCCCCGGCUAACUCCGUGCCAGCAGCCGCGGUAAUACGGAGGGGGCUAGCGUUGUUCGGAAUUACUGGGCGUAAAGCGUGCGUAGGCGGAUUAAUAAGUUAGAUGUGAAAUCCCAGGGCUCAACCCUGGAACUGCAUUUAAAACUGUUAGUCUUGAGUUCUGGAGAGGUAAGUGGAAUUCCUAGUGUAGAGGUGAAAUUCGUAGAUAUUAGGAGGAACACCGGAGGCGAAGGCGGCUUACUGGACAGAUACUGACGCUGAGGCACGAAAGUGUGGGGAGCAAACAGGAUUAGAUACCCUGGUAGU
rnacentral:rRNA from 1 species